rnacentral:misc_RNA from 1 species
GAUGAAGAACGCAGCGAAAUGCGAUACGUAAUGUGAAUUGCAGAAUUCAGUGAAUCAUCGAAUCUUUGAACGCAUAUUGCGCUCUCUGGUAUUCCGGAGAGCAUGCUUGUUUGAGUAUCAGUAAACACCUCAACUUCCAUAUCUUUUUUGAAAUGGGAGUUGGACUUGAGUGAUCCCAACGCUUUUCCUCACCGAAAAGUGGCGGGUUACUUGAAAUGCAGGUGCAGCUGGACUUUUCUCUGAGCUAUAAGCAUAUCUAUUUAGUCUGCCUAAAAAACAGAUUAUUACCUUUGCUGCAGCUAACAUAAAGGAGAUUAGUUCUUGUGCUGACUGAUGCAGGAUUCACAAAGACGGCUUCGGCCGACUUUGUAAACUCGAUCUCAAAUCAAGUAAGACUACCCGCUGAACUUAAGCAUAUCAAUAAGCGGUGGA